rnacentral:rRNA from 1 species
CCUACGGGGGGCAGCAGUAGGGAAUCUUUCACAAUGGGCGAAAGCCUGAUGGAGCAACGCCGCGUGCAGGAUGAAGGCCUUCGGGUUGUAAACUGCUUUUAUAAGCGAGAAAUAUGAUGGUAACUUAUGAAUAAGGAUCGGCUAACUACGUGCCAGCAGCCGCGGUCAUACGUAGGAUCCGAGCAUUAUCCGGAUUUACUGGGUGUAAAGGGAGCGUAGACGGCAGCGCAAGUCUGGAGUGAAAUCCCAUGGCUUAACCAUGGAACUGCUUUGGAAACUGUGCAGCUGGAGUGCAGGAGAGGUAAGCGGAAUUCCUAGUGUAGCGGUGAAAUGUGUAGAUAUUAGGAGGAACACCAGUGGCGAAGGCGGCUUACUGGACUGUAACUGACGUUGAGGCUCGAAAGCGUGGGGAGCAAACAGGAUUAGAUACCCUGGUAGUC